rnacentral:rRNA from 1 species
GAUGAACGCUGGCGGCGUGCCUAAUACAUGCAAGUCGAGCGAACAGACGAGGAGCUUGCUCCUCUGACGUUAGCGGCGGACGGGUGAGUAACACGUGGAUAACCUACCUAUAAGACUGGGAUAACUUCGGGAAACCGGAGCUAAUACCGGAUAAUAUAUUGAACCGCAUGGUUCAAUAGUGAAAGACGGUUUUGCUGUCACUUAUAGAUGGAUCCGCGCCGCAUUAGCUAGUUGGUAAGGUAACGGCUUACCAAGGCAACGAUGCGUAGCCGGCCUGAGAGGGUGAUCGGCCACACUGGAACUGAGACACGGUCCAGACUCCUACGGGAGGCAGCAGUAGGGAAUCUUCCGCAAUGGGCGAAAGCCUGACGGAGAAACGCCGCGUGAGUGAUGAAGGUCUUCGGAUCGUAAAACUCUGUUAUUAGGGAAGAACAAAUGUGUAAGUAACUAUGCACGUCUUGACGGUACCUAAUCAGAAAGCCACGGCUAACUACGCG